rnacentral:rRNA from 1 species
AUUGAACGCUGGCGGCAGGCUUAACACAUGCAAGUCGAGCGGGGGAAGGUAGCUUGCUACCGGACCUAGCGGCGGACGGGUGAGUAAUGCUUAGGAAUCUGCCUAUUAGUGGGGGACAACAUCUCGAAAGGGAUGCUAAUACCGCAUACGUCCUAUGGGAGAAAGCAGGGGAUCUUCGGACCUUGCGCUAAUAGAUGAGCCUAAGUUGGAUUAGCUAGUUGGUGGGGUAAAGGCCUACCAAGGCGAGGAUCUGUAGCGGGUCCGAGAGGAUGAUCCGCCGCACUGGGACUGAGACACGGGCCAGACUCCUGCGGGAGGCAGCAGUGGGGAAUAUUGGACGAUGGGGGGAACCCUGAUCCAGCCAUGCCGCGUGUGUGAAGAAGGCCUUAUGGUUGUAAAGCACUUUAAGCGAGGAGGAGGCUACUUUAGUUAAUACCUAGAGAUAGUGGACGUUACUCGCAGAAUAAGCACCGGCUAACUCUGUGCCAGCCGCCGCCGUAA